rfam:Acidobacteria bacterium RIFCSPLOWO2_12_FTLL_66_10 rifcsplowo2_12_scaffold_20646, whole genome shotgun sequence.
GUCAUCGUGAGGUGGCGUCUGGAGGAAGCGGGGAGCAAAGACACGAGCCGAUGAACAAGAACCGGAUAUGAGGCGUGAGCGCCGCGCGAGCGGGCAAGAGACCGCGAAGCGCAUGUCCAUCAAGGGCGCGGAGCGUAAAUUCGGCGGUUGCGUGCGGACAGCGGUCGAA